UAUAGCAACAAUGGUCUUGACAGGCUAAUGCAGGAAUCUUCAAGCAGGCUAGCUGCUAUGUCUCUGUGGGGUGGAAGAUAGAUCAGCAGGGCUGGAUUAACCCAUAGGCUAAGAAGGGUGUUGCCAUAGGCCCUCAUAUUAUUAGGCCCUACUUUAGGCACUCCACUCUAGCUUCUCUCUCCCACUAGCCUUAGGCCUCUCAUAACUUAAUUUGACUCUGCAGUCCACUCUGAAAUCCUACAGCUCUGAUUCACACAGGCUUCAAGCUGGAGGAGAGGAGACCCUUUGGAGGAGGAGGAGCUCAGCCCAUCUAAGAUUCCUGGCCCCAGUAAAAGCCCCUUAUUUCCAGCAGUCCUUGAGCAACCAGAGCUCAUUGCAGUUGCCCCUUCAAAGAAGCCUUGGAGCUCCGAAGACCUGGUGCGGCCCAGCAAGCUGUAGGGCUGGGAAGCAACAUAGGCAAAGAUAUCUCUUGAGCCAGGUGAAACACUGAAUCAACCUUGGGGAGGAACGAGACAUCAAGGCAUAAAACUACCCUAUCUCUAUGAAAAACCAGAGCUGCUGUACCCGAGCACUCAAAUUGGUGAUGUCCAUAUCUUCCACACUGCGAGGCAUGGAGAGUUCACAUCGGAAUGGAGACGGCGGCCGUGAUCCAUUGUGAGGAGCCACGGAGUUGCAGAAUGCAUGGUUACCUUCUUCCUGACUUGAAGCCUCCGAGCUGUCCUCCUUGAAAUGCUCUGGAGUCUUAGAUGUCUUCAGGGAGGACUGAAGGCUAUCUGAAGGUAGCCAACAUAAUAAGAACCUUUCAGUAUAUAUGUGGCAGCAAUCAGAGUUUUUUCAUGAGCUGGAGUGUGAAUGUGAGUGUAUGAACGUAAUCAAGGGUCAUCAUUUGAGAGGUUGAACAUGAGAAGCUCUAAGAACAUGAGCCAUGAAGGAUCUGUCAACUGUGCUGAGAAAGUAUAUGACAACAUUUAUUGGAGCCACGCACCAGAUCCAAAUUAUAAGGCUUAAUGAUUCCAGGACCAGGUGCAAUCUGCGGCCACGGUCCAGUGUCAGGAGUCAAGGACUCAGAGAACCUGGUCUCUGCACAGGUGCAUAAAUCAAGUUAGAUCACAGAGAAGAAUUUCCAGUUGCCGCUACUGACUAUUUCUGGACCCCUGCAUUAGAUUUACUAGCAUGAUAUACACAAUUUAAAAGAAACAUUAACCACAAGCAAGAAGCUUCAUGUCUCAACUCUGAAGUACAGAUAAAUCCAAUCAUUUAUCAAAAUGGCAGCUACAAGCAUCAACCUCACACAUACAGGCAAUAAGUAUGUUGAAGAUCAUUUUCUAGUCCACAGAUUGAUCACUUACUUUGAAGGUAUACUCUAGAUGUUUGUCAGCCCUUUUCCUUGGCGCUCCUUUCAGCAUUAUCUUCUCAAUGUGUACAGCUAAAAGAAAAUCAAAAUAAAGAUAAAGA